CCUCCGCUCUCCCCGCACAGGAGGGCGGACCGAGGUGUCCGGCGCUCUCUGCCCUGACCGCGCCGGUCGCCUCCAGUGGCCGGAGGCACCGCACACCGCCGGCCAGGCAGCUCCGGGCUGCGGUGCCCGGACGGGCUGAGGGUCCCGUCCCGGCGC
rnacentral:ncRNA from 1 species